UACAUGUUCCUAUUAGAUGAGGGU
rnacentral:siRNA from 1 species